rnacentral:rRNA from 1 species
CCUACGGGUGACAGCAGUGAGGAAUAUUGGUCAAUGGACGAGAGUCUGAACCAGCCAAGUAGCGUGAAGGAUGACUGCCCUAUGGGUUGUAAACUUCUUUUAUAAAGGAAUAAAACGAGGCACGUGUGCCUUUUUGCAUGUACUUUAUGAAUAAGGAUCGGCUAACUCCGUGCCAGCAGCCGCGGUAAUACGGAGGAUCCGAGCGUUAUCCGGAUUUAUUGGGUUUAAAGGGAGCGUAGAUGGGUUGUUAAGUCAGUUGUGAAAGGUUGCGGCUCAACCGUAAAAUUGCAAUUGAUACUGGCAGUCUUGAGUACAGUUGAGGUAGGCGGAAUACGUGGUGUAGCGGUGAAAUGCUUAGAUAUCACGAAGAACACCGAUUGCGAAGGCAGCUUACUAAACUGCCACUGACAUUGAUGCUCGAAAGUGUGGGUAUCAAACAGGAUUAGAUACCCUAGUAGUC